rnacentral:rRNA from 1 species
UACGAAGGGGGCUAGCGUUGUUCGGAAUCACUGGGCGUAAAGCGCACGUAGGCGGCUUUGUAAGUCAGGGGUGAAAUCCCGGGGCUCAACCCCGGAACUGCCUUCGAUACUGCAAAGCUAGAGGACGCGAGAGGUGAGCGGAAUUCCGAGUGUAGAGGUGAAAUUCGUAGAUAUUCGGAAGAACACCAGUGGCGAAGGCGGCUAACUGGCGCGUUUCUGACGCUGAGGCGCGAAAGCGUGGGGAGCAAACAGG